rnacentral:rRNA from 1 species
CCUACGGGGUGCUGCAGUGGGGAAUAUUGGGCAAUGGGCGCAAGCCUGACCCAGCAACGCCGCGUGAAGGAAGAAGGCUUUCGGGUUGUAAACUUCUUUUGUCAGGGACGAAGCAAGUGACGGUACCUGACUAAUAAGCCACGGCUAACUACGUGCCAGCAGCCGCGGUAAUACGUAGGUGGCAAGCGUUAUCCGGAUUUAAUGGGUGUAAAGGGGGUGUAGGCGGGACGGCAAGUCAGAUGUGAAAACCACGGGCUCAACCUGUGGCCUGCAUUUGACACUGUAGUUCUUGAGUACUGGAGAGGCAGGCGGAAUGCCUAGUGUAGCGGUGAAAUGCGUAGAUAUUAGGAGGAACACCGGUGGCGAAGGCGGUCUGCUGGACAGCAACUGACGCUGAGGCGCGAAAGCGUGGGGAGCAAACAGGAUUAGAUACCCGAGUAGUC